rnacentral:tRNA from 1 species
ACCUGGCUGGCUCAGUCUGUAGAGCAUAUGACUCUUGAUCUCAGGGUCAUGAGUUCAGGUCUCAUGACGGGCA